rnacentral:rRNA from 1 species
UACGUAGGGCGCAAGCGUUGUUCGGAAUUACUGGGCGUAAAGGGCGCGUAGGCGGUCUGUCGCGUCUGCUGUGAAAACUCGGGGCUUAACCCCGGGCCUGCAGUGGGUACGGGCAGACUAGAGUGCGGUAGGGGAGACUGGAAUUCCUGGUGUAGCGGUGAAAUGCGCAGAUAUCAGGAGGAACACCGGUGGCGAAGGCGGGUCUCUGGGCCGUAACUGACGCUGAGGAGCGAAAGCAUGGGGAGCGAACAGG